ACAUUCCUUGUAUCUUCAAAGGGCUUUCUCCUGAUGCACCAGCAGAGGACUCAAUGCUGAGCUUUCUCAAAUGGAGCUUAGCAGUGAAGGUGAGGGCCCUGGAGCUCCGGAAAGGCCACCAAGGAAGAGGGCCUUGAAGAACGAGGAGGGGAGGGCUGUGCGGUUCGCAGCUUCGGAUGGUUGCCACGGAGGUUCGUUAGGCACAACUUGAUGAAGGGCACCCUUGGGAGGUUCUCCCAGCACCGUGCACGGAGCCAGUGGGAGUUGUUUAAAAUGCGGGCCUUUAACUGCUUUGCUUGAGGCCAAGACACUGUGCCAGGGUUCAGAAGCAUUUGAUGGCACUUUUGCGCUCAAAGCACUCAGAGACACCGUGCUUAUUCCCAAAGUGGGAUAUUCCAUGGGCUAAGUAGGUCAGUGACAAUGAGCUAUUGAGGGGCUUGACAACUGCAGCUAGCCGAGAAGACACACAACGAACGGAAUCCCUUUGCCUUCCUCUAAUAAAAGCCACUGGGGCGAGGGGCGGGGGGAACAUUCCUGGGGGUAAAAGAGAUAGCUCUAGAAAAGAAAAGAUAACUGCAAAUGCAACGAAAACCCACAUGAAUGGAUGUAGCACAAAAGAACUGGGUCUCUGGAAUCAGGGGCCUAUUUUCCUAACAAAACAGCACACCCUUUGUGGGGCACCCAGGGCAUAUUAGUUUCUUACCGGAUUUUUUGGUAGGCAUAACUCUGAGAUCAACACUUUCGCUUUUUACUGAUUUUAAACCUGGAGGGAGUGGGCCCCUUACACCAGAUACCCUUCUAACAACCUUUCCCACAGUCAUACUGGAUGAUUGCCUGGGCAGGGGGGUGAACCUACUUCUCUGGCCCUCUUCAACUUUCUGGUCUGAUGGCAGGGAGAAGGGUACUGAGCUUUACCAGAUAUUGAAAGGGCUUCCCCGGGAGCAGGUUCUCAGCACAUGUUCAUUGAAAACUGAACAACCCCACUGGCACACAAGUAGCAGUACUGAACUCUUUUCAAUGGGGAGAUUCAGGGGGGACUCAUGCCCACCUGCUCUCUGGAGCCCUUGAGGCCCCGGAGCUCCUGGGUAGAGCUGCUCCUAACACUUCUCAAGGGAAUUUCCACAUCCAGGACACUGCCCUGCUGAAAGUUAGCAACUGGGUGGCCCCUUCCAAUUAGGACUGCUGGAUUCGGAACUUAAAUGCGUAUAAUGAUCAUUCUUAAUGCAUGUGCUUUACACUCUCAGAGGCUUCCAUCUUCAAAGUGCUUUAUGAACAUUAACUAAUUAAUCUGGGAUACAAAUUGUGCCAAGGCCCAGAGGGCUUAAACUGCUCAGAUCUGGGGCGGUCUCUGUUGAGGGUAACUUCAAGCAAUGCAUGGAAACCCUUUUGCUUGGUGUACGUGGGUGGGGCUGUCAGCAAAGUGCCAUCAACCCACUGCAGACACUGCCCAGUGUCUGGCCCAGUGGGCUACACCUGCACUUGAGGCUACAAAGAAGAGGAAGCCAGAAGCUCUUUGACAAGGGAGUGACACACUAAUGGCUAGCAAACAUUAUGCUUUUAAUAAAAAAUAAAGCUUCGUAGGCAUUUACUUGUUCAAAUAGGUCACAUUCAAGCUUCCAUUGCAUAAAUGAAGAAAUAGGCUCAGAAUGGCAUAAGAAAGAGCCUGAUUUACUAAUUACCCAAGAAACAUUUCUUACCAAAUACAGUAACAGAAGUGACUUACGUAACCCAAAACUUGAUGUUAAAAUAAGUAUGAGAAGUAGAAAUAAUCGAUGCUAGAGACACUCAGAGGUAAAAGGUAAAAUUUCCUUUGGAUAGGUGAAGAAGAUUUGCUUGGAGAUCAGUUUUGUGUUGGACUUCAUUUACUUGCUUAUUUAUUUUAGUGAUUUUACUAAGGCAUAAUUUACAUAAUAAACUGCAUAGGACUCAAGGGUACAUGCAAUAGAACACAAUUGUGGUAUAAGUGGUAUAUGCGAUAGCACACAAUUGUAUAUUAAGUGUAUCCAUCACUUCUAAGUCUCUCAGUGUUCCUUGAAAAUUCCCUUUGUAACCCCAUGCCCCAACCCAUUAGCAGGUAAUCACUGAUCAGUUUUCUAUCAUGACAGACAGGUAUACAUUUUCUAGAAUAUAAUAAAAUGGAAUCAUAUGUUAUGUUUGCACAGCUUCUUUCACUUGUGCAAUUACUUUGCAGUUCAUCCACACUGUAGGGCAUACCUAUUGCUGCUCACACCCUGUUACUGACACAUAGCAGCACAUUCUGUAGAUCCACACAAUAGCAUCAUGGUGAAUAUUCAUGUACAAGUCUUUCUAAGGACCUAUUUCCUGGGAGUGAAAUGGCUAGGCCACGUGAUAAGUCAAAGAUUACUUUAGAAACAGUCAAAGGGAUUUUCAAAAUAGCCAAACCACUUUACAUGCUCAUCACAGUAUAGGAAAGUCACCAUAUGGUAUAUUUACACCAGCAAUUGGCAUAUUACAUCUUUUUAAUUUUUAGGCAUUCCUAAAAUUGUGUAGCAGUAUUCUCAUUGAGAUGGUAAUUUUCACUUCCUUAAUAGCUGAAAAUAUGUCCAGCAUUUUUCAGGUGUUUAUUUAUAAUCCCUAUAUGUUAACCAUUGUAUUUGGUCAAACUCUUUGACAAGUUGUAAAAAUUGGGUUGUUUGUGGUUUUAUUGGUUAUAUAUUAUAUUAUAAACCUCAAAUAUGUUAUUUGUAAAUACUUUUCCCAGGCUUCAGUUUAUCUUUUCCUUAUUUUAAUAGUGUAUAAGAACAAGUUAUUAGUUUUGAUGAAGUUCAAGUUAAACUUUAUUUUUAACGGAUCAUGUUUUUGAUAGGUAUAUAAGAAAUCUUUGCCUAAUUCCAAAUUACAAAGGUUCUAUCUCAGGAUACUUCUACAAGGGGUAUAGUUUUAUCUUUAUGUCUGUGAUGUUUUGAGCUGACUUUUAUAUACAUGUGAGGUAUGAAUCCAAGUGUAUCUUUUUUACGUAAGGAUAUAAAAUUCCUUUAUCAUUAUUCCUCCACUGAAUUGCCUUUGCAUUUCUGUCAAAAAUUAGUUGGGCAUAUCUCUGUUGCUCUACUUCUGGACUUUUAUGUGAAUUUGAGGUGUUUGUCUGCGUUAACCCAACACACUAUCUUGACUGCUAUAGCUUUGUUCUUUUUCCAACUUGCUUGGCUCGUCUAAGUACUUUGCGUUUCUACUUGAACUGUCAAGUCUGCUUGUCAAUUUCUGGAAAAACAUAACAAAACAAAAACCUUUAGGACAUCUUGACUGGAAUUUCUUUGAACCUAAGGAUCAAUAUGGGGGAAGUCUGAAUCUUACACAGUAGCCUGUUCCAUGAAUGCAGCGUAUCUCUUCAUUUCUCUUGGUAAUGAUUCGACGUGCAAUUUCUGCCUGAGUGUUGUUUGCUAUUUUUAUUAUUCAUUUCAUACCUAUCUUUUCAAAGACUUUGCCCCAAGUUCUUUAUAUCCUUCAAUGCUAUAGUAACUGAAAUUGGCAUUUCAAAUUUCAAUUGGUGAUUUUCCAUAGCUAGUUUUUGGAAAUACGAUAUAUCUUUAUAUCCUACCAUUUUGCUAAACUGACUUAUUUCCAGUAGCUUUUUAUGCAGAAUUUAUUGAAUUUUCUGCAUGGAUGACUAUGUUAUCUUACACAUAAAGACAGUUUUACUUCCUCCUUUCUAAUUUGGAUGCUAGCUGGUAUUUUUGUUUAUUUGUUUUCCUUAUUGCACUGGCUAGAAACUCCAAUAACACUAGUGAAAGCAAACACCCUUUCCUUGUUCUCCCUCUGAAGGAGAAUAGGUCCAGUCUUUCCCCAUUACCUGUCCUGCUUCCUGGAGCUUUAUAGUGUCACCCUUUCUCAGGUUGAAAAACUCCUUUCUGUCCCUAAUUGGUGAGGGUUUUUAUCAGAAGAGGAUGCUGGAUCUUGUCAAAUACUUCUUUAGCAUCAACUAAGAUAUGAUUUUUAAAAAUCUGUUAAUAAGAUGAGUUAGACUGCUUUCCAAAAGUUCAAGCAACCUUGCAGUCUUGGUGUACCUCAAUUGUGUUAUGUUAAUUGACAUUUGCUAAGCACUUUGCCUCAGUAUUUAGGAGAGAUGCUGUUUGAUGGCCACUUUUCCUUCUGUCUUUGCUGGCUAUUCUCUUAGAAGGAGUUGGUAAUCUUUCUUUUCCCUCAACUUCUGAUAUUUUUUUUGUAGAAUUAAUGUGAAAAUUAUUGUUAAAAAAAUCACUAGUUUGAAUAGUAAAAUAU
rnacentral:lncRNA from 1 species